rnacentral:rRNA from 1 species
UACAGAGGUGCCAAGCGUUGUUCGGAUUCACUGGGCGUAAAGGGUGCGUAGGCGGUCAUGUAAGUUGGAUGUGAAAUCCCGGGGCCUAACCCCGGAAUUGCAUUCAAAACUGCAUGGCUGGAGGUCUGGAGAGGUGACUGGAAUUCUCGGUGUAGCAGUGAAAUGCGUAGAUAUCGAGAGGAACACCAGAGGCGAAGGCGGGUCACUGGACAGAACCUGACGCUGAGGCACGAAAGCCAGGGGAG